rnacentral:rRNA from 1 species
CCUACGGGCGGCAGCAGUGGGGAAUAUUGGGCAAUGGACGCAAGUCUGACCCAGCAACGCCGCGUGAAGGAAGACGGCUUUCGGGUUGUAAACCUCUUUUAAGGGGGAAGAGAAGAAGACGGUACCCCUUGAAUAAGCCACGGCUAACUACGUGCCAGCAGCCGCGGUAAUACGUAGGUGGCAAGCGUUGUCCGGAUUUACUGGGUUUAAAGGGGGUGCAGCCGGUGUGAAAAGUCAGAUGGUAAAUCCCAGGGCUCAACCCGUGAACUGCAUUUGAAACUGUUGCCCUUGAGUGUCGGAGAGGUAAUCGGAAUUCCUGGUGUAGCGGUGAAAUGCGUAGAUAUAAGGAAGAACACCAGUGGCGAAGGCGGAUUACUGGACGAUAACUGACGGUGAGGCUCGAAAGCGUGGGGAGCAAACAGGAUUAGAUACCCUUGUAGUC